rnacentral:lncRNA from 1 species
GAGGGGUGAUGGAUGUGUGUUCAGCGCAGUGUAGGUGCAAAUGGGUGAAGUGCAGGGGGAAAUGUGUGAAAGGGGUGCGUAAGAGAGUGGAGAUAGGAGUGUGGAGUAGAGAGAAAGGGCAUGUAAUGUGAGUGUGAGUGAGACAUGCAAGGGAGAGAGUGUGUGAUGUGAGUGUGUGAGUGAGAGUGUGAGUAUGAGUGUGUGAGUGAGAUUGUGAGUGUGUGAGUGAGAGUGUGUGUGAUUAUGAGUGUGUAAUGUGAGUGAGAGUGUGUAAGUGUGUGUGUGAGUGGGACUUACGUGUAAAAGAGAGAGCGUGAUGUGAGUGUGAGUGUGUGGUGGAGAGAAUGUGUGAUGUGAGUUUGAGAGGGGCUUAUGUGUAAGAGAGAGAAAGUGUGUGAUGCGAGUGUGAGUAUGUGGUGGAGAGAUGGAAGUGUGUGGUGUGAGUGUGUGAUGUGAGAAAGAGGGAGAGAAUAGUGACGUACUAGAGAGGGAAAGGAAAGGGGGUGGCUCGUGAGAGGGGGAGAGAUAAGGUUAAUUUGACGGGGCCACGCGUUGGGGCAUGCCCAAGUUUAUCAAAGGAUAGGGAAGAGAAGCAAAUGAAAGAUUGACAUGAGAGGGGUAGGUGCGGCUUUUACAUGCGUGUAGGGAAAAUGGGGUAGAGAGAGAAAGAAGAGAGAGAGAAGGGGGAGAGGAGAGAAGAUCUUGCGUGCAUGUAGGUAAAAUGGGGUAGAGAGAGAAAGAAAGAAGAGAGAGAAGUGGGAAAGGAGAGAGAAUAGGCUUGGACUGGAAGGGGUAGUUUCUCUCUCUACCAAAAAUAUUUCUCUCCUCUUCACUUGAUCUAGAACUUAUGAGCAAAGCAAGAAAAUAAACUAAGAAAUUGCUCUCAAAUGCUCAAGUUUUCAUAAAAUGAUCGAGCCUUUUUACAAAUGUCCUAAACUUGUUUAUAUAGAACAACCACCAAACAUGGUUGGAGGUCAAAACUAAGUCAAAUUGUAGCAAAAUACAAUUAAAUGGAAUUAAAAGAAAAUCCCGGUUUUGGACAUAAUGACCAAAAUACCCCUUGGAUCUUUGAGCAAAUGACAAAACCAUUCAUCCCUGAGGGGCCUCUUGCUAUUACUAGACUUCGGGAGUUUUUUCGAACACUUGCGGCGGUGAUUUGGGCGAUCAAUCAUCAUAGAAUUGAUGCCUGAUCCAUCACGAACAUUUUGAUGCCCUUUGAUCGUCUUGAAACGGAUUUUUUAUGAUGGGGCAAAAAUCCGGCCAAAUCCAUAAAUUUCAACCACCAAUCCAGUGCGAUCCAUGAUGUUCCGGGUCCACAUUUUGAUAACAAAUUAAAAAGGACGUUGUCAUGAUCAUUUUGUACCGAAUUUUGUCCAUUUUGGUUUCCGUUUGAGCAUAUCCCCAAUUUGGGAAGUCACCGAAAAGUGUGAUUCCAGCGACCGAAAAAUCUUACAAUUUUCAACCUUUAAAUUCACACUAUCCAGCCUUCAAUUGAGCUCAAACAUUAUGCCGAAUUGUAGCCCUUCGCGAUGUGGUCGUAACGUACCCAUAUUUGCGAUGAUCCGACACUCGGAUCUCAAGUUAUGACUUCACGAAGUAUGGGAUGUCUUCUUUAAAAAUUAUGAUUUUCAUGUUCUUGGGCUCAUCUUCUCUCUAGAAAUUCUCUCAUCUCGGGCCAUGUCAUGACGUGUGCCAUAUGUCAAAACGACUGGGUUGUCGAGACCUAGCUCGCGUCCGAAUUUGAGCAUGUUUCAACUCAAAGCGAACGAGUUAUGAGUAUUUGAAAAAUCAUCCCGAGAGGUAAAAACACAGUUUUAUGGAAACUGGUUCACCGAGGCUACACCACAAUAGUGUAAAACCCACCAUUUUAUGGUAAUUUGGAUCUAGAAUGGUCUGGAAGGUCCAAUUGAGCUCAAAUUUGGUCCCUAGGGGUUUUUCGAAGAUCCGGAUCCAAUGGCGGUGGUCUGGUAUUGUUUUGAGGCUCCGAAAAUAGGGUUGUAGUUAUAAGGUCCCUUUUCAACAUGAUAGGAACCGGAUUUGAGAACCGAGUUUCGUCUUGAUCAUAUCAAAACUUAUCGGAAUUUAAUGAAACUUUGUGAGCGUCCUUAGGGCAUCCCAAACUACCCUUUUCAUCCCCUUUGAAACCGUUCUAGUUCUUUUCUAGAGCUUGCCCAGUUUUAGGCUUAUUUUGCAGUGUUUUCAUGGUCUGGCAGUAUCUUGGGUACUGGCAGGACCAGGUUGUUACUGGCUCUCUCUUUAUGCGUCUCGGGCUUAUGCGUCUCGGGGAUACAAGUACGUCAAAAAUGACGUAUAACACUCCGACCUCAGCUGGGUCAGACCUCUGCCAGUUUCUGAGCCCGGCUGAGAUUUGCAAUAUCCCAAACCGCUUGUCCUAGCCCCCGAAAACCCAUCUUAAUAAACUUAUUUUGAGCUUAAAUUUUCUGAGUUGAUUGAGUAAUUUCUUGGAAUGUAUCUUUAAAAUUUCAUCUGGUUUAGACACUGAUAAGGGAUUCAACUAAAUUAAAUACAGCCCACUGUCACUCUGUCAUCUUCAUCUGAUCGACCACUCUCUGCAAAAUGCUUGACUGCAUCGAGCUCAAUAGACUACCUUAAUGUUAUCGGUUCAAACUGAAAUUUUGUGGAUUGUUAUAGAUUGGUCUCAAGUCCAUUGUCAGUUUUUGUCUGACAGAUUGCACUUUGCAAAAUGAUGGCGGUCAACAAAGUGAUACCUUAAUGAUCUCUUUUUGAGAUGAAAUUUGGUUGCUACUUGGGGAAUAUCUCCAAAACCUGCUGUCUAAAUCUCACGCAAUUUGAUAAGGGGUUCAACGAUUGUCAAUUUACAUUGCUAACCGCAGUGAAGGCCCAGUUCGAGCUGUCUGACUGCUGCAAUUUUUCAAAUUCCAUGGUUUUUUUACUAAAUCCAGUUUGGAUAAGUUUGGGCUGGUUCAUGAAUCCUUCUUUGAUAAAUAUUUGACCAUUUUGAAUGAGUUUCUGGUCUUUAAGGUGUUAUUGCUUAUCUCCUUUGACCCAAAUUUGCGGGAUUUAUCCAUCAAUUAUGAGUUUUCUGAACUUAAUAAACCAGAUCCCAUAAUACCUUACUAAUGAAGCCAUCAUAAAUCUACUAAGCAUUAUUGUGCAUGGGUACAUGCUUGUAAGCUCUUUCUUUUUAAAUGAACUCUCAACUUGUCGCAGAUUCCCUAUUUAAUUGGCAUUGCCAUUGAAUUUCGAGAAAGCCUUUUGACCUCCAGGACUGGACUUCAAUAACCUCAGAGGCACCAGAGCCCUGUGCAAAUUCUGCUUCUUACUACAAAGCCUCCUGAUCAAUCCAGCAUCACCAUCUUCAAUCUACAAAGAAAACCUUAGCAACCUCAACAAUUAAGAAAACCAUAGUUAUCUCUCAUACAGACUUCCACUAUGCUAGUUUCUGCUUUAAAGGGUAGACAACCUUUUAUCGAAGUUUCUUCACCAAAAUCACCCAAAAGAAAUAUUUGAGAUUAGUGUGAUCGUCUGUUGAUUUUCACCCCUUAAUUUUGGACGUAAAUCCUACAAAACAAUUAGAAUGAGGCAUUCAGAGAGAUGACAAUUCGAUAUUUUGAUGCACUUUACUCGUUUAACAUCAUAUUCCUGUAGUAUUCUCUUUUCUAUCACUUACUUCUUCUCCCAAUGCCAGACAAUGAUGUAUAUAUUAGAUAAUUGUAUUGAACUUCUAGUUUCAUUUUUCCCUUACAUUUUAAAUUACAAAUUAACUGAAAAGAUACAACAAGAGUAACACAAUAAUUCACAAAUUAACUGAAAAGAUACAACAAGAGUAACACAAUUAUUUUAUAAGAUCUUAGAGGUAAUUUGCUUGCUUGGUUCUCUUUUUUUUUGUUUUGGUCCUCAAUAUCUUCAAUUUUAAUUAGGGCAAGCUUUCUAUGCUUCCCCUUCCGCAUAAAACUUGUAUACUUGCCCUUAUCCAACCGUCCAUUCUGAAUGGAAGGCUAAGAUUUCCCCAAUCACAAUGUCACGUCCCUACAUUAUUUUAUUUUUAAUUUUUUUUCUAUAAACUAUUUUGACACCAAAUUUUGGACGUCCAAUGCUCUAUUAAACUCUCACUAGCGAAAAAUAUAAAAACAAUAGUUUCAAUAAAAUACAAUGACCAAAAUACCCUUGAAAGUUUCAAGGGGUAUUUUGGUAAUGAUAUUUUAUCGAAAAAUUAUUUUUAAUAUGUUUUAUAGGUGCGCCCUAAUGAGAAGAUGGCAUACAAUUUGUAUAAAAAAACUAAAAAUAAAAUACUUUGAAAUGUUGGAUCUAAGAUCAAAUGGUGAGUGGCUAUCUUGAUCAAAAUUGGACGGCUGGAUGGUUGGGGAAGCAUGGAUCUUCUAUGCUGUAGGGGAAGUAUAGAAACCUUUCCCUUUUAAUUACACAACUCUUUUCUCCUUCAGGGAAUAAGGACAUCUAUUUCAAACAUUAUGGACGUGUAAACAUUUACCAAAUCUGGCGGAAUGAUAUCUUGCCUUGCCGGGUUUAUCUUCGACACUGGUACGUUUUUUCCCUUUUCUCUAUUAGAUUAUCUUUCAAAAUACUACCUAAAUUUUAGCUAGAAAGGCAAUACAUGAUCUUAGAAAGGGUUGUCUAGUGAGAGCUACAUAAAAAACGUAGUAUCUCUAUGAGAUGAUUAUAUUGCAAGAUACCAGAAACAGGUAAUUUCUGUGUGGUCUGCUUUAAGAGCAGUGAUGCCAUGAACAGAGUAAAGAGAAGAGAACAAUUGGCUUGUUGCUGGAGUUCAUAUAUUCCAUACAACAUCUGGGCACAAUUCUGUUGCCAUGGUGGAGGAUGUUGCCUGAUAGAAGGGAAAACAGCUGACUGAGUAUGCAUGCUUUUUUUCUAGUGUGUUGGCAGCAAAGAACCUAAGUGAAGCAGCAUAUGAUAAUUUUUUGGAUCAUACUUUCCUUGGCGAUCGAAAGACAACCAUUCGGGAGUACUUGGGCUCAGCUGGCUCAGGCAUCAUGGAAGAGGAACCUCCUGAUUGUGUCAAGGGUAGAUAUGAUGGCUGAUCUCAGAAGUAAUGAGUUGGACAAUAGUACUUGGAUGGAUAAUUAUUCCAACUGAAACUAAUAGGGCUGCCUCAUCCAAUUGUAAAAUUGCAGGUGUCGUGCAAUUCAAAGAAUGUAAUAUGAUUAAGUAAAACUAAAUAUGUACUUGCUCAUUUAUUCACCCAAAAAAAACAUGUGCUUUCUUCUUUGAAGUGAAUCCACUGCGAUGGAUGAAAUUAUUGUAUGUUGUACUCAAAACUUGGCACAUUGCUAUUCUGAAGUUGCAAAUGAAAUAAGGGGUUGUUGGGAGUCAAAAUAUCUCAUCCUGAAAUGUGUAGUAUGGAAAAUCUCAAUUUGAUGCUCUGCAGUUUUGUAGUCCUUCUUAGCCUUUAAUUGCCACCUGCCUCGCGUAAUAAGUUUUUUCCAUGUUUUUCUAUACAUUUUUAUGAUCAUUCUGGUUUUGAAUGGCAGAUCUGCAUGUUCUAUACAGUUUGAUGAUGUACAUGUUCUUCAAAAGUUGACUACUCACUGCUGCAAUUACCAGUUAAUCUAAAGUUGCAUUGUUUAUGUUUGGGUGUCAUCUGCAAAAUAGAGCUCCUUUAAUCUUCUUAGGGCCUUGGGAUUUUUAUUUUUAUUUUUUUUGGAUCAACUUCAAACAUAACUUGAUAUAGCUAGCAGAAUUCUGUACAAAUUGUGGUGGUAGCAAUAGAUCCUGACAGUCUGUAGGUUCACAUGGGCACAUAAACUUAAGGAAUCAUGCAUAGGUAAUUAUUCAGUAUUGUUAUGAUAAGAGAUUAUCACAGAGGUGUGAUUGUCAAUAACUAAGUCAUGCAUAUUGGUACUUGUCAGUGAUACGAUCACCAGAGUUUGCAGGCUGCUUAUUGAUUACGUAUCGUCUAUUCAUUGAACUCGUGACUUUUGUGGGUUAGGUUAAAGUAAUUCUGGCCAGGUUGAUUAUGUGAGGCAAAUUGAGAUUGACGAGUUCCAACUCAACUGGAACUCUAUUGGUAAGACAAUGGCACAAGUCAAUUGCUUGAAGCAAAUGUGAACUCCUUGUUGGCGGCACGUGGAUUAUCCAGUUGAGGCCAAAUAUGAUUAACUUGUUGGGGCCAAAGAAGGUUGUUCAUGACCAUUAGGUUCAGUUAGUCACAGUUAUUAUUGGUUCAAAGUGCAAACUGAUUCAUGUGAAAGUAAAAAAUAUAACAAAUGCUAGGACCACACUCUCCAUGCCAUUAAAUCCCCUUUAGACCUUAACCCUCUUCCAUGUAGACAUGCAAUGUAAUCAGGGCUAUAAAUCUUGGACCAUGUUAUAAUUUCUAACGACACAGCCAUCCGGUGUCCAAUGUAGCUCUUCUACAAUGCGCAUCCACAAACACACAUGCACGCACAAGGGUGACCAUUUGUAGGACACACAAAGUGUGUGUAGGUGCACAUGUAAUUGAAUCAAAUUUAUCUGUUUAAUUUAUGAUUGCACUCCAUGUCUGCUCCAAUAAUUAGCAUGUCAUAGACUUAAUUUCUGUGGAUGAAAAGCUAAGACAUGGAAUGCAAAGUCAGAGCUAAGAAUAAACAGAUCUCAUUGUUGGAAUUUGGAAAGACAUGGGGCUGUGCAGGUGUGGUAUUUGCAGUAGAAAUGGAGUAAUAUAUUGUCUUUCUAGACAUUAUUCUCUUUUACUUAAUUGGAGCAACUUUAUCAUGAGAUCAUAUUUCACUCAUAGUGGAUUCUUGUGAGGUUAUGACCAUUGCUCCCAUUAUCGUUGUGAGCAGAUUGGUCCUUUUACUUGAUCGCAGCUUUUGCUGCGACCAUCAUAACUUUUUCGGCCUUUCAUUUUCUUCUUUCUCCUUUCCUGUUGAUAAUAAACUCGGUUGGUAUUAUAAAUCCUACAAGGCAGUUGAGAGAGGACAAAGAGACCCCAUAUUCCCAAAGUAUUACCUUCUAGAUCGCUUUUCAAGUAUGUGGCUGACUGUAUCAAUUGCCAAAUAAGGGCUCAAUUUCCAUGUUUUAGUUGGAAGCAUAUGGUAUCAAUUGCAAAAUAAGGGCUCAAUUUCCAUGUUUUAGUUGGAAGCAUAUAGUAUCAAUUGCAAAAUAAGGGCUCAAUUUCCAUGUUUUAGUUGGAAGCAUAUAGAUACUUUCUUAUUCAAGCAAUCCAGAUGAUAUUUUCAUGUGAGGUGUAUUAAUGAAAGGGCCGAUUCCAGCAAAAAGGGACUAUAGUUGCCACCAUCUAUGGGGGCAAACAAUUUGCCAUGUUUUUUAAAUAUGCCAAUGUCACCUAGUCUCAUAUUGCCAUAGGUUUUAUUUAGGAAUCUAUUUAAAGCAUGGGUAUUUCAUUUUUUGUACGCACUAAAUUCCUUAACUGAUGUGAUGGUUACAGUUAGAGGUCACCAUUAUGGGAUUAUUGGAGAACUCGAGUGUAGAUUCCAGCAAAAAGGGUCUAUAGUUGCCACCAUCUAUGGGGGCAAACAAUUUGCCAUGUUUUUCAAACAUGACAACUGUUGGCUAUGUGGCCUUUCAAGGCCUUAAAGUCAAGAGUGCUAUACUCAGUGGGAGUUAGAAAGAGACUGAAUCUCGGUGCUUGGUGCAUUGGGGCCCAGAUUCAUAGACCCCGAGUAUUUAAGGCAUUGAGAGUAUACGUUUUGAGAGUGUGAACUCUCGAGGAGGUGUGAGGGUUACCUCUUAGUCAGGACUAUAUUGACUAGAAUACUUCAUAGUUGAUAUGAUAAGCCAGGGCUUGGAGAAACCAAUCGAGAAUAAUAGAACUCGAGUAUUUAAAAGAGUAUUCGCCCUGUAUGGAAUGGUCGGCUCAUGGGACAUGAGCUCGUAUCUUAACACGAGACCGUUCCAUGGCAUGUGCACCCACAGGCGUAUGGGGAAGCCAAUCUUCUAUAGUAUUAUCCGACUUAAAAGAGCAAGUGCACAUGUGCUUUGAGAGAACCCCUGUAUUUAAGUAGGAAUAUGUCCCACAGAGGUGCACUAGUAAUCCAUUGAACCCUUGGUAACGGGAAGCUCUGGCUCAACAACUUUGAUGUGACCAAUUAUGUGUCCCUGCCAUAGACUAUGGAGCAUAGGUCCAUUGGGUCGGCUUGAGACACCGGUGAAACGUAAUUUGGGUUAGCCCAAUGGGAGAUUCUGACUAGUGCUAUAAGUCUAGAGAUCUCAUUUACCUUUGGCCCAAAUUAAUCUAAAAUUGAUGAGAAAAGAUUUUAUAUUGAUGAAAAAUUGUGUAAUAAUGUUGAGAAAUAAUUUAGAGAUUUUUUUGGGAUUUUUGGAGAAUUUUUUAGAUUUUUUAAAUAAUAAAAAAUGUGAUUUUCAAAUUUGUUUGAUGUAAAUACCAAACAAGGACAUCCUAUGGAUGGGGAUGCCACAUGGAUCGCUAGUGGCCAUAAGGAUGCCACGUGGCACCCCUACCUUCCCAUUCGUGGAUGACAUCAUGCUUAUGUCAUAUUCAUGUGGGGACCUAUUUGUCAUUAAUUCUUUUGUUGGUAUUAUAUUAUAACAUGUUAUCUUGUUAUUUACAGUGUUAUAUAUUGUUAUGACUUAAGUUUGAUUUAAGUCAUAUUUCUUUUUUGCUCAUAUGUGCCAUUUUUGGCAUGUGUGAAGUCAUGGGAUUUUGAUAAUUAAUUUGAUUCAUAUUAUUAUCCACAUAUGACUUUGUAGCAUGUGGGUAUAUCUUAUGUGGCACCACCUUAUGGGCUUGACUUAUGUAAAACUUUAGUAUUAUUAAAAUUCUAUUGGUGGUGUCAAGAUAUUUUAUUCACAUGUGUGGAUGCCCCAUAUUACCUUUAUGUUCAUGUCCUUAUCUUUUAUUGACUCUCACAAAUUAUUCAAAAACCAUAGGCAUAAGUGUAAACAUGAAUUUGGACUUAAUAGAAAAUAAAAUAUGGUGCUAAGGGCUUCAAGGUAAAAUGACUAUAAACCUAGGUUUUAAGGAGUGAAGGGUGUCAAAAGCUCAUCCAUUGAUUUUGGUGAUAAGAUAUGGAUGAGUGGCUUGGAUAAAAGCCUCAUAUGUACCAUUGAUCUAAGGCAUCAAGGAUUAAGAUCAAAUCCAUCUUUAUCAUCUAAGUAUAAAAGUAACUUAUGGGAUCAAUUAUAACCCUAACUUGAGUAUUUACUUCAAGAGAGAGAGAGCUCCCUUGACAAAAAUGUGGUCACCCAUGAGACUAUCUUCUUCCUUGAGCUUUCAUUUGAAACCCUUCCAUGGAGUAGUCCCUCAUUUAUGUGAACAAGCUCAUACUAUUGCUGCAUUAAGGUAUUGAUUUUUCUUCUUAUAUUUUUAAUUCUUACCUCAUUUUCAUUAUCAAAACUUGCUGUAUUUCUUAAUUUAUAGUAGCUUCUUCAUUUUUGGUCACGAAAACUUGAUAUUUAAAGAGUCCCAAAGCAAUAGUGUAGUCCAUAUAUAUAGUAUGUGUAAACUAGCUUGUUUACUCCAUGAUCUUUAGAAGUUUCAACUUGAUUUUCUUGAUCUUAUUUUUCUGAAAUUUUUAUUGAGAAUAUACAACUGAUGAGAGGUUUGUUUCAUCAUAUUUGAGCAUAUAAAAUAGUCCCUUAAGUUCAUUUCUUAAUGUUGAAAAGUUCGUGUGGUCCCUUAUGGAUCACAUGGUGCAGUUUCACCAUAACUUCUUUAUUUUGUGUAGUAUCUCUCUCAAACUUUGAAGGGCUAUUUUGAUACAAGUCUUUCUCAUGAUUUGAUCCGAUUAAGUGAAAUAAAAGUGAUCAUUUGCUUCCCAUUGAAUUAAUCUCCUUGAGUUAUUAUUAUCACACAAGCCUUAGACAAUGGGACAAAAUUAAGUCCUCAAAAGGCCCUUUCGUGGCCCGGGCACAAGGGGUUCAAACCAUGGUUUCUCCAUGUAUGUUUGCAUGUUAAUUUGAUGUAUUUGCAAUUAUUACAUGGAUUUAUGAUUGGUUAAAUUGAGUAUGUUGUGUGAAUGCGGAGAUUGUUCUUUAAUCUCGUGGUAUGAGCUUUAAUGCUAUGCAUUAUUGUUUAUGCGAAUUGAAAUCUUAUUGGAUUAUUAUGAUCAAGUGUAUGAUGUGUACGAGACAAUGUGAUAUAUGACGAGGAUGAAGAAUGAAGAUGGAAUUAUUAUAUAAUUUUGAUAUAAUGAGGAAUUGCGAGUGCAAGUCAUGGAAAAUGUUGUAAGGAUGUACAUUAUGAAUAUUUGAAUAUUGUAUUGAGUUUAAUUGUAUUUUUUAGUAAGGAAUUUGUAAGGGACCUAUUAGGGUUGAAUUUUAUUAUUCAAAUGUGUAUAAACCAUUUUUGUAGGCUAGAAUAUAUGUAUUAUGGUUUUGUAUUUAGAUAUCCAUGCAUUUAAACCCUUGAGAUUUUAUACAAUGGAAAAUUUUUAAAAGAUUGUAUUUCUAGCCCAUUAGUCUUAUGUCACCAACAACAACUUCACCUAGUCUUAUCUUGCCAUAGUUUUAUUUAGGAAUCUAUUAAGGCAUGGGUAUUACAUUUCUUGUACGCACUAAAUUCCGUAACCGAUGUGAUGGUUACAAUUAGAGGUCACCGUUGUGGGAUUAUUGGAGAACUCGAGUGUAUUUGGUUAUUUCUAGAGAUGGAAGGUGUUUGUGUGUCUAGUGCAAUUGCAUGAUGUGGGGGCUCAGACAAGUUCAUGCUACUUUAGUUUGCAAAAACCCUAAGUAUCUUGUUUCAAUGGAAAAUGAAAGCUCUUCAUUGCUGAAGAGAAUGUGGCCUAGACUAAAACAUGCAAUCGCCUCUUGAUUCCUCGUUGUGGUUCUGAAGAACUCCAUGAGCUUCAAUAAUACCAGCAUUGUAAGCAACAUUAUUCUUGAAAGACUUCACAUAUUAGUGAUGGAGACUGACUGAAUAUGAGAAGAAAUAAGGCAAAGGGUUCAUCGCAACCCGAUCUUGACAAUGUCUACAAGUCAUUGGAUGGGGUCAGUUGCAGAUUUUUUUGGCUAAAAUUAUGGAGUUGAUGACUUCAUUGGUGGGGUGAACCACAUCCAUGACACUGAAACCAGAGAGAUCCUCUUCCUCCACAACUGGAUACAGGAAGCUUCGGGAGCCAUGUGCGCUCCGGACCAACAGUGUUGCUCCUUGCUUCAUAUGAGCUGCCAAGUGAGCAAUGAUCUGCGCCUUCUCCUCCCUGAUCACCCCUACCAAGGCAGCCAAGAUCACCAUGUCAUACUCUGCCACCGCAUCCCCCUUCACCAUCUUUGCAUCGCAUGUGUGGAAACUCAUCCUUCCCAAUAGGUCAGCAUGGCCUCUCAUGAGUGAGCUGCCCAUAAGGUUGGCAUGAGGGCUGAUGUCAUAGUUGUCGAAAAGGGUAGUUGGCAUGUGGUGGAGGGCAAGCACGAUGGAAGAGAGGGGCAUGGGGCCAGAGCCCAGGAAUGCCACAUUCUUUGGCAUGGGGAUGUGGUUUGCCACCAAGGUCUCAAAUUCAAGCACCGCAAGCUUGAGGUAGUUGGAGUAGUAAGGAAAUAUGUGUAGGCUGCUGAUGGGUCUGGGGCAGCGGCCUAUGAGGUCCGAGAAGUGAGCCUCCAGCUGGGAUUCGGCUUCGGCGCAGAGGCAGACAAGUUUCGAGCGCACAUCUUUGAUGUCAUUCUCAAGGCUGUCCAUAUCGAAUGAGAUGGGGAGGGUGCAGAUGUGGACGAGGUGAGUGAAGAGAGCAUUCACAGGCUUGCUUGGCUUGAGGCUCUCCAGUUUGGCAAUCUCAGUGUAAAUCUCUAUCACUUUCUCUACAAGGUGACGUGGGGUCGAUACUUCCCUCCCCAACCUGCCACUUCCCAUCUCUCCUUCCACUGUCAACUCUUCUGAAGGCAUUAUCUUGGAUUUGGUUGAUGGUGAAGGAUGUGGAGGGAGUCAGUGGCACUGGGUUUUAUAAUUUGGGGGAGUCCGUCUACCUUGCAUGUGCUUCAUAAACUUCAUUUCUUUCUGGUUUAAUUAUAAAGGAAUCCUGGUGAAGAGGUGCUUUCAUGAAAGUGAUAACUUUUUUAGGCCAUUUGCAUCGUCACAAAUGCAAUGGUGAAUGUUCUUAUGUUGAUGAGUCACGAGCAACCUCAUCAAGGGCCUACAUAUCUAUGAUCGUGUGUUUCUGCUUUUAUCGGGCUCUCCUCAUGAAUGGAGCUGUUUACAUUAAUCAUUCAUGUACGCUUUCUGCUCAUGUUGCCAAUGUAUGACCCGUUGAUUGUAACACAUUUCUCCUAUUAUAUUGAUCAUGUUAGCAUUGAGGCAACUUACAUAUUACAAACGAACUGCAUGCCUAUUCACACUGCAUCGCAUUUCUUGUAGUUGUGUGAACCGAGCCAAACAAUUGAAACUAAUUGCAAAAAAAGGAACAUCAAAAUUAAUCUUUUUCUUCAAAAAUUCCCAGCAUGACUGAGUUGACGACAUGAACAGUAAAGAAAUAUGAUGCGAACCACCAUCAGAAAAAAGACAAUGGUGGGGUUGUCUGUCCACUACCUUUAUCUGUGUAGUGGCAUUGAAACUUUGAAGAUCAAGACUACUCCCUAUAAUAAUUUAUCGAAGGAAAUGAAUGAUGACAUACAUACUUCACCCUGGACACUCUGAGAGAGAGACACCCUCCCUUUUAAAAUGGAUGUGGAAAACCUACACUGUUGUUUCAGGUAAAAGUGCUGGAUCUAUGAGGACAUAUGAUCACAUCUUCCCCGUGCUUUGUUUUUUGCUACCUUUUACCUACUAUUACUAUAGGAGGACGAUCAAGUGGGCUGCCCUUCCUGUCAUUUUGCCAAAGUCCAAAACAUUCUUAGUAGUUGACUGCUUCACAGCCCUCUGUAGUGCGCAUGCAACAAUGCUAAUUUGCUUUUCUUUUUGUAUCCCCACUAGCGGGAGAAAAAGGUUAGAAAUGAUGGAAUCAAUUGAAAUAUGGAAAAGCAUAUGACAUGACUAUUUAGCUUGGGCACAGAAAGGUCUGAAUCAUCUCUAACUCCAAGAUGUAAAAUUGAUCGGCUGUGUGUGAAUCCGCCCGAAAUCCAAAAAAUAAGAAGGGAAAAUUACAAAAAAACACCUAAAAAUGAACUAUCUAUGCAACUUACCCCCACCCCAAACUUUUCUCACACUUUUUUCCCCCAAACUACCUUUCCUCGCAAAAACCCCCCAACCCAAAAGUAACAUGAAAUAAGACUAAAGUACCCUCGUUUCUUUUCACAUGGCCUUUUCUCUCGUGUUUCCCAUAGUAAAGACGCGCUCUGGUAGCCCCAAUGUUCGCUCCGUAGUACUUAGUCUGACCCACAGCGCUCCGGCAUUCUGAUAACUCGCUCCAGCAAUGCAACCACGCGCUCCGGCAAUGAAGCCUCUGGAGCCACAGCACUUCGGCAAUGGAGGACUGCAUUUCAGCAGUCCGAAUGCGCACUUUGAUAGUCGCAAUGUGUGCUCCGGCAGUGCUUUGUCUGACCCACAGCACUCUGGCAUAUUGAGAACUGCGCUUCGGCAGUCUGCAUGGGCGCUUUGGCAAUCCCAAUGUGCGCUCCGGUAGUCAUUUGUUUGACCCACAGCUCUCAGGCAUUUUAAGAACGCGUGCCGGCAAUGAAAAUACACUCUCCGGCAGUUCGCUCCGGCAAUGAAGUCUUUGGCCCACAGCGCUCCGGCAAUGAAGUCUUUGGAGCCACAGCGCUCCGACAAUGUAGCACCGCCCUCCAGCAGUGCUUCUUGACAUUCUACUCCGACAGUAGUAUACUGCGCUCCGGCACUACUCUAUUUGGGAUCCCCGAAUUGAUUUGGUUUGUACGGGAAGGGCAUUUCUAUCCAAAAAAUAAAAACAUUUUACCUGGGGGGGGGGGGUUUUGCGAAGAAAGGUUGUUUGGGGGAAAAAAGAGUGAGAAAAGAUUGGGGUAGGGGUAAGUUGCAUAGAACAUUUUACGGUGUUUUUUGUAAUUUUCCCAAAAAAAAAAUGCUACAAAGAAAUGACAGCUGAGCCGUCUCAUUUUAUAGGAUGGCUUGGGAUGUCUAUGACCUUUGUUUACAAAAGGCAAUAGUUCUAUUGUGUGCAAUCCCUUAAAACAUCAGCAAAUCAAGUCUUAAAAAAUAUACACUUUUUUAGUGCCCAUUGGUUUGACCCUGGAUGAAUACGAAGUCUCUCUCUCUCGCCAUGACAGUCCUCAGCCACAUUACUGCAAAGCAAUGCCUGUUCCUGCUGCCUCUAAAAUGUGCUUUCUGAUGCCAACGGUGGUUUUUUUUAUUUUGCAGGCAACUAAUGACACAAAGAAAUGGCUGAUUCUCCAGAAAGUAAGAGAAGCUUUUCCUCAUUUAAUAGGUACAUUUCAAAUGUCAUCGUUUCUUAAAACAUCCUUCCUGAUUUCUACCUUCCAUUUUUGUUUCAAUAAGCAAGUUUGUAAUCUGCCCAUUUUCAGCUCAACUACCAUGAAUGCCAUAAACAAACAUACAUGCAGCGAGAGAGAGGGAGAAUAUAAUGCAAAAUUUAUAGAAAGGCGAAAUCAUGCUUCUUUGUAAUAUAUCAGUGAACCAUUUGAUAUUUCCCCAAACAAAUUAGAACUUGUUUUAAAAAAAAAUAGAUUUCGUUUAUGUAUUGGCAUUAUUACAAAAUAAAGGCCACUAUUUAUUCAAAGCCCUACAAUUUAUCAUUACUAGCCCUAAAACCAACUGUAAAAUCAACUUCAAAUGAACUAAAUCUUCCCAGUAUUUUAUAUAUAAUCCUCGAACAAGGGAUUGCAUAGAAAAGCCCACGCCACAUCAUAACAAGUCACUUCGUUUAACCUAUGGUCCGGCUUCAUACAAUUCCAAGUAAGCUUUCAUGAUGUUUGCUGGAUGAUUAAGAUGCAGACUCCAGAUGAUAUAGGAGUCCUAUUCUCAAGCAAAAGCCCCUUUCUUCCUUUUUGACUGUCCGAAUACCUGCUCUACGUUACCCAGAGACUCCUGCUGCUGCUGCUUUUUGCGUCGACAUUUACACCCGUUUCAAUUACCCAGGGACUCCUGCUGCUGCUUUUUGCAUCGACAUUUACACCCGUUUCAACACUCCCAGACAUGGGGGACAUUGAAAAUAUAUUGGAGCACAGGCUGGGUUUGCACCCAGACAUUUUGCCAAAGACAACUUGCAACCAUGUUCAUACAGUCUACUAUUGCGCUGGCAAAAUUAAGUGUAAUAAAUAUCAGCUAUUUAUUAUAUAUACAUUGAAAUUUUAUUGGUUACUAUAGAAUAAUAAUCAUACAAGCACAUCCUCCUCGGUGACUUCAUUUUAGACUACUGCAUUUGGCACUUAGACAGGUACUAUAGUCAGACACUCAUGCCCGUGUUCAUGUAACAUUGUAGGUGAGUAACCUCACAGCUGACCAGUGAAAACAUCAAUAUCGCAUACUACCUUUCAAUCUUGUCUUGCCUCUACUGCCAUAUCAUGCGACUCAAAUUACAAGCAAAUUUAGUAGCUUAUACACAAAGGAGACUAAAUUAUUAAGGACUAUCGAAGCUUGCCAGAAAAAUAAAUUAUAACAGAAUCAAAACUUCUCAAUGUACUAUCAGAAGUAACUUCCAGGUGUAACAAUGAGCACUCGACAAAGCGUCAUCUUUAAGGUCAUAAAGGUGGCAUCGUGUUUAGGUCCAUUUGUAUCCUCAACGGACAUAUUAAGCAACUCUUAACACAGAGACUUUGCGCCGCGCAGCUACUGCAUCCUUCAUUUCACUAAGUUGAAGCAAGAGUUGAUUUAUCCUCUGCACGAUCAUCAAAGUCAAAUUCAGGAGAAAAAAUUAUCCAAUCUAUAUUUUCCUUUCCCUUAGAAUUUCUAUCCAUUACGAAUAACACAAUAGCAAAAACUGAAACUAAAUUCAUUAAUUAGACCAAAGACUAGAAGUCAACUAACCAAGAAUUCUCUGAUGAAAAAUUAUGAGUAGAUAACCAUGGAUUGUGCGAAGAACAAAGAACUCUGAAAAGCAGUCUUUUUGUUACAAUUUGAUACCUAAAAAUGCAAGUUACAUGGUUCUAAGGUCAAUGGGCACCCAUUGCGUACGCUGCAGCCCUCAUUCUUCCGAGACAAAAGAAGCUGGGGUAUACAGCUGUUAGCCCCAUACUGACAUGGAAGGAUAUAUAUUACAAGGUUUCGUUCCAAAUGAAAAGAUAUUCCAGUGUCAAGUAACUUAUAGAGGUAUUCAGAAUCUGAUGUAUGAAACCAUUGAUAGAUCCACAUUUUCAAGGGGUAAAUAUCCCAAUAACAAACACUAUAAAUGGCGGGGUUCUGCAUGGUCCCCAAUCCAGUGGUCCUGCAAAAAAGAAACAAGAAAGAAAAGAAACAAAUGUGGCAUAAUAUCAUCCCUAUCAACCAAUAAGAGAAAAAUACCAUAAUGAGCGUGUGCAUGCACGAGAUAUCCCUAGGUACUCCCAAACUAAGGAAUUUGGCAACCAAUGUCAUGAAUAUUAUCAUCCCCACAGUGAUAUUAAAGAAACGUCCUAUAUGAUGAUAAGGCACAUUGACCAAGCAUCCUCCAAUUCUUGGAAACUCAACCUGUACCAAAGUUGACUAAGGAAAAUCCUCACAUUCUUAGAAACUCGAUCUAUACCAAAGUUGAAUAAGGUCAUUUGUAUAGUAUCCUACUAAGUUUUGACUCUUUUUUUUUUUAUAAUGUUAACUUCGUAUUGCUGUAAGAGGGAGUACAAGUGAAAAGGGAGAAGAGAGGGCCUCGAGUACCCACGCGGCGGGUACCUUGGCCAAAAAAAAAUAGGUCCAAAGACCCUAUAAAAAAAAUCGGCCAUGUCCUGCCAGAUUACAAGAAAUAGAGUGUAGCAAAAAGGGUUUAUAAGAGACGCCCGAGGACAGUAAAAAAGGAAGGGUAACUAUAGUCCAGGAAAGCCUCUGUUGUAACACCUGCAUGUUGACUCUGUAAUGAAACCCCCACAUAGAUUUAUAUGUGUACAGGGCACAUUACCCCACAAUUUAAAUAAUAAGAUAUACAUCCAUAUUUCUACCCAAUCAUUGUGCUAGAAUGUUCUUUUCCUCUUCUCUUCCUCAAACGUAACAACCAAAAAUCUCUAUCUCCUGCUCUCACUCUUGAGAAAAUACGUUCUGCAGUCUAAAACAUUCCCAUUAUGGUUGCAGUGAAAGAAUAAACAAAUAGAAGUAAACCUCCCGUCAGGGAUAGGAGCUGUCCUCAGAGACCAUCUCGGCACUUUCGUGGCCUCAAUCUUCAAACACAGCGGCCAGAAAAACUCCAUGGAGGCUAAAGCAAUAGUCCUCCUGGAAGGUCUGAAACUCACACAACCCCUCCAUCUGCAUUCGCAUGUGGUGGAGGGAGACUCCAAGAACACUAUCACCUGGGCACAGUGUCCUUCUUCUUCCCCCCUCCUUGGACUUUGGCACACGUCUUUGAUGAAAUUGAUGAUCUUUGCAGGAAUACAUCGGUCAUGUGGAUGCAUACUUUGAGGAAAGUAAAUCAGGAUGCUGACUCCCUAGCGAAAGAUGCCGCUACAGUUAUAAUCUAGCUUUUUUGGGUUUUUCCUUAUUUUGUGAAUCAACCUGUUUUUCUAGGUUGUUGUGCCUCGCUAUAACCUCUUAAAAAAGGAUUUUGAUUCAGCUUUUUGUUGGUUCUAUCCCUUGAGCAUUCUCGCAUGUGGAUUGCAAAGGUCUUUUGUAUAUUCCCUUUUAUCAAUUAAGUCAACAUUAUAAAAAAAAAAAACAAAUAGAAGUAAAUCAAAGGGAUUUGACCUCUUGGCUUAACCCUUUGAGAAAAGGGGCCAUAGCAGGACGUCCAAAGUGAAGAUAAGAAAAUGAUGCAAGACGUAGCUUACGAUUGAUAAAUGCUGGAAAUUUCCCAUGUCACAUGGGCCACAUAUGCUCCUUGAGACUCAAGCUCAUGACAUCCAUGUACCAAGUAGAGUCUUUUAUCAUGGAUGCAAUUUUUUUCCCUUUUGAAACAAUAAUAGUAUGGUGGGCAUACAUCCAAUUGCACUAAGUGGAGACAAACAGAGACACAUACAAGAUAGUAGAAUGAGUGGAGUAGAAGGCAUUUUUUUCCCUUUUAUUUUGUGGUGGAGGGGGGGGGGGCAGGGGGGAGGGAGGGAGGGAGGGAGGGGAAGAGAGAGAGAAACUCGACAAUCCUAGAGUCUCCAACUGUCAUGUUAAACCAAUGGCUCUUCCUCAAAUCUAUAAUCUCAAGCAUCUGCCAUCCUCCAAUGAUAGGGGCUGUAAGAAAUCACCCGCCUAAUAGUGUGCAGUGACUCACAAACCACUACUAACAACAGUGUCGUUUCUUUGAGGCAAUGAGUAAAGCAAGAGCUUCAGCUUCUAUCGAAUUACCAUGCCCUGCUGAACCUGAGUAAGGAUAUAAAAUUACCCCACAGUGAUCUCUAACAGGAGAUUCAACCCCUGAAGGACCUGGAUUGUGAAAGGCGCAACCAUCAAAAUUUAACUUACAGACCCCUGUCAGUGAUGGACCUUGAGGGAUCACAGGUCUGGGGGCGUCACCUUUGUUGUUUUUUGAAGCCAAGUACCAGGGGGGGUCACAGAUCUCGUAGCCCAAGAGAUUAUAUUUUGUGUAUCUCCUUCCACAAUAAGUGGUUGGCGAGGAGGGGUUGACAAGCUUGAGGCCAGUGAGGUGUGCCAAUGACUCAGCACAUUGGGAGUCCGUGUGGCCGAUGUUCUUGGAGUAGGAAGCGAGUUGGUUGCCUUGGUGGUCGCUGAAGACUCCACCCACUCCUACCGGGAUUUCCGAGGGAGCACCUGUCAAAGUUAAGCUUUGUGAGGCCCACUGGGGGGGAGAUCCAGCUCCUAGAUCUGGAGACACGAGGCGAUUGGGUGUGGAGAAUGUCUUUUCAUUGGUGGAGGAAGGUUAUGGCGGAGACUCCUCUAAAGGUCUUGUGGUUAGAGGCCCAGAAAGCAACCUCCGAGAUGAUCUUCUGAAAUAGGGCCAGAGUUUCACGCUUGGUCCCUUGAAAGAUCCUCGCUUUUCUCUCAAUCCAAAUGACCCUGAUCGUGGCUGCCAUGGAAGAUUUCCAAAGAAGCCUGCCAUCAUUAGGCCAUGGAGUGUCCCAUGAAAGGUUUAGGAGAGGGAGGAGUGACCCAGGAAAGGCGAAAGAGUUGGAGUAGAAGGCUCCACAGUGAGGGCCUUUUUAGAGCAUGCAAUCCAGUUAAAGACUUGCACUUUUGGGGGGCUAUGGAGGACCACACCUGAGCUACAAUGGUUCUCGGGGAGUGAGGAAAAGAGGGGGGUAACAAGAGUUUUUUAUAGAAGGAAGCCACCGUAAGGAACCCGAAGGCGAUGGGGUCCACACCAAGCGAUCUGGCCCUGAAAAGGCUAGGAAGUUAGAGCAAAAAAGGGAAGACAAGGAGAGAAAAUCAAUGGUUUUCGGGGUCAGUAAGGGGACGUCUAAAGGAUAGGAUCCAAACUUUAAUGUUGCCCGAGAGGAGCAUCUCAUUUGCAACUGUAGAGGUUUCGAUGGAAGCGAGAGAGAAAAGGGAGGAGAAAAGGUCCCUGAAAGGGGUGUGGCCCAGCCCGAGAUCAGAUCAGAAGCGGAUGCGGUGGCCUUCCCAAGGGUGGAAGUGAAUGUUUUUCUGGAAGAGGUUGAGGGAAGAUAAGAAAUACUUCCAAGCCCCUUAUGCUUUGCUCAGUGUUCUCCCUUCCGGCAGCCAAGUAUUAGUGGGGAUCUUGUACUUACAGAGAAUGACUUAGGUCCAAAGAAGGUCGUUCUGUGUAGCUAGGCGCCACCACCAUUUGACGACCACUAGAUCGAAACCGGCCGAUCUAGAUCAUAAUUGGUCAGGCCGAUCUGGAUCCUGCUGAAUAUCUGGCCGGUUCUCCUACAGAACCGCCCGAUUCAACAAAACCGGAUCGUUAUGUCAAAUAACAGUCCAAACCGGUCGUAAUGUUUAUUUAUAAAGUUUUAUGCAAUUUUUAUUUUUAUUACUUUUGUCCUUUAUUUUUCAAAGUAUAAAAUUUCCCGAAUCUUAUUAGAUGGGCCAUAUAUCUCAUUGGGAGGGCCCCACGCCCACCCACUCGCUAAAAGGACACAUUAUGAAAGAAGAGAGCAUGGUCUUUUAUAAUGUGUGAGGCCCCAAUCUCUUGCUUGGCAUCCUAACGUGGGAUAAUUCCAAAAGUUCACACAUAUGCAAUACGCAAAUCACAGAAAGAAAAUAAAGAUGGGAGAAGAACCCAUAUGAUGCGAACAAUGAACCAAGACAAAAUAAGCGCCCCUCAAUAGCUCUCUUGUAGCCGUUCUUGAAAAAUGCAAACUCGUUCUUUCCCCUCCUCUUUAAACCUCUUAACCUCCCUUUCAUCUCUCACAACUCACCUACACUCACCUACAAAUCUCUCUCUCUACUCUCUCUCUCUCUCUCUCUCUCUCUCUCUCUCUCUCUCCAAUGGCUUUCUCCAAGCACAAAAGCUCCCUCCCAUGCCUCAACCUCCUCCUCACCUACCUAAAACCUCUCUUGUAUCCUCACCACCUCUGCCUCCUCCGUCCUCACUGCCUUUUCCCAUGACUUAUGCUCCUCUUUUCCGUCUUUCACCUAAUACGAUCUCAUCAAAAUAGAUAGCAAGAGACCCAUGAGAAGAUGCCGUAAUAAAUGCAAAAAUAAAAAAUACUAUUAUUUUUUGGAAAAUUGUUAAAGAGAUGAAUAAUUAAAAAUUGUUAUACUAUGAAGAAUAUUUUUAGUGGAGAUAAAAUUUGAGUGAGAGAGAGAUUCUUCAACGAGAGCGAGAUGAAGAAAUUUUGCACAAAUAUGAUCAAUUUUAAGAGAGAGAGAGAGAAAGAGAUUUAUAAAAAUCACAAUAUCACAAAAUUAGUAUAAAAAAUCACUCUCUCUAGUUUCUUUAGUAAAAAUUACAAAAUGAGCACAAAAGAAUUUGUAAAAGUAUUGUAUCAAAAUUGGUAUAAAAAUUAGUAUUAAAAUUAAUAUCAAUAGACACCCAGACAAGAAACAUCUCAAUAUCUAUGUAUUCUUGAAAAAUAUUGAAGGUCCAUAACUCACUAACCCCUUUUUUUUGGAAACUAAAAAAAACACUAUUUCUAGGGAUUUUUAGUGAUUUUUUGAAAAAAAUAGGUGGCCCAACUAGGAAAUUUGGGGGUCUAGGCCCCAAAGAAGGUGUAUAGAGGGGGUUUGGUUGGCCUCAAAUUGAUCUUAGAAACAAUAGUUUUUUUAGAAAUACAAAUAAAACACAUUAUCUAAGUCUCCAACACAUUAUAUUUCAUACAUAUGUAAAAUCUGAACUUGCCGUUGAGUUACAUAGAGUAUAAAAAGCCAAAUAAAAAGAUCAAAAGCAACCCAUUUCCCAAAAAUACAAGAACAAAAAAACCAAACAAGAAACAAAAUAGAAAAAAACCAUUCCCAUAAGUUUCAGAGAUUUUACUAAGAUUGGGUCACCCAAUCUUAGUAAAAUGUCAUUAACCACAAACAAAAACCCCACUUAUGGAAAAUGGGGCACAAAUCCAAACAUACGCCCAAAUGUACAAGAACAAAAUCCAAACAUAAAAAAAAGAAGUCACAUUAUUGGUCCUUUUUCAAUCAAGAAUAGGGGCCACGAAUCCAAUCCUGAACUUGGAAUAAUUUACAAGAAUAAAAACCAAACAAAAAGAAAGAGAAAAAAAAACUAAACUGAACAUUCAAGAAUAUCAUAUAAAUCAUAAGCAAGAGAGUUUACAUAUAUGAACCUUUUAAUAUGCACUAUAUCUUAGCUUGAAAUGGUGACCUAUGAGAGCCAAAAGUCUUUUUUUACAACCAAAUCGACCUAGAAAAAGUAUCGGAUUGAUUACUUUUGAUUUGGCAAUAAAUAGAAAACUUCGAAAGAAUUUUCGAUCUUCAAAACAUCUUCUUUUUUUGGAGUUUUUCUCUCUCAAAUACAAGAAAACAUGUUUUGAAGGGUUGCAACGCCCCCUAAACCAUGUUCUCCCAUCUUUUUUUUUAAUGUAUUCACUAUUGUGUACUAUUCAUUUUCCCCCAUCUUUGAGGGGGAAAAAGACGAUUUAUGCCAUAGGCACAGGGCAAAUUUCCGCACUCUUACUAAAAAGCACGAGGCACUGCCUGGAGGCAGAUGCCUAGGUGGGGGACUAGGCACAUUACGCCUAGGCACCCCCCCAAACCCCCCAUGCGGGCAGGAAAGGCCCCUGGCUGCCUAGGUGGCCGAAUUUGCGAACCUUGGUUUGUAUGAUCAUCUCACAUGAUCUAAGGUAUUAUACCCUCUAAAGAGGACUCAAGCAUGAUCCUAACUUAACACUAAAAUGAUCCAUUAGAGUGCUUGCCUCAAAAAUAUUUCCCCAGAUGGGAUACACCUAUUGUGUUUCUUUACAAAUUCCACGCUAAAUUACUAAAGGGUGCAUCUCCAGAUAGUGCUUGCAGAGCCAGCUAUAUACCAUCCAGUAAGGAGGGAGUAACCUGGCACAACUACAUAAAUGGUGGUGGAAAUUCGCUAAGACAACAUCCAAAUAUGGAGGGAGAUGAUCCAAGCAAAAUAUAGCACGGAGAAUGUUGGAUGGCUCCCCAUACAUCCACUAUAUCUAGCCUCUGGUGCAUGGAGAAGCAUUUCCAGCAGUAGGCUUAAGUUCAAGAAAGACACAAGAUUCAAAGUAGGCAGAGGUAAUCAGAUUAGAUUUUGGAUGUCGGUCGGAGACCAGACCUUGGGGGCUCGCUGGCCUUCUUUCCUAUCAAUUGCAGCCAACAAAGAGACCAUCAGAGUUGGCCCCCUCAUUUGAACCCCAGUCUGUAGGAAAGCCCUAUCAGAACUAGAAAGUGACUAACCAACAUACUCCUCAACUUCCUCCAAGGUUUCCAUACAGGGUUGGAGGGGAUCAACCAUCUGGUUUGGUCCCCAACUCCUUCUGGAAACUUCCCUGUUGCCUCCUUUUACUCCUCUAUACCACCUGCUUGAGCGUCCAGGCCCAUCUUCAACAAAACUAUGGGCUCAGUACCCACAAGGUAAGCCUUUGGUUGGAUCCAUGCCUACGGCAGGCUACAAACUGCUGACCAACUUUAGAAAGGGGCUUUCAUAUGCCUAACUGAUGGGUCAUGUGUAUACAAGAAGAGGAGAACAUCGCCCACCUAUUCUUACACUGGUGAGACCAUUUCCCCUCUCUGGUCAAACUUUCUACAGCUCUUUGUAUUGCAAUGGGUCACUCAACGGUUCAUAGAACAGCUACCACCUGUAUUGCUAUCCCAACCUUUGCCUAAAACUAGUCGCCUACUCUAGGUGUCCUCGGUCUUCAUAUAGUUAUGGUGUGUUUGAAAUGAGCAGGAUGCCCAAAUUUUUUGUGGUCUACAACAGCCCACACAUGCUCUUUUCAACCGCAUCAAAGUUCAAACUAUCUUUUGGGCUAGAUAUUUGCUGCCUUGCAGCAACUUGGGCACCUCAGCCUUCUUCAUUAAUUGGGAAAACAUUUUGUCCCUUGACCCAUGGACUCAAAGCAGUCGGAUAACCUGGGUGCCUCCAUCACAAGGUUCUCUCAAGUAAACUGUGGAUGGCUGCUCCCUCGGGGACCCUAGGCCCUCAGGGUUUGGGGAAAGCCUAGCUAACCAUGAAGAAGAUUAACUUUUGUCCUUCUCGAGGUUCAUUGGCCAUACGGACUCCACCGUGGCUGAAACUGCAGCCCUUUUUGGAAGGGACAAAGGGUAUCCUCCUUGAUACUGUCAACAUUGAACACCUGAUUAUGGAAGGAGUUUCUAGUAAUGUUGUAGCGUUGAGAGGCAAGGGAAACCCAAGCCCCUUGGAGACCAGCAUACCUCCUUGACCAUAUAGACGUGUUACGCAAGGCAACUCAGGUCACAUUCGGCCAUCAUUUGAGGGAGGCCAACGUCAUGCUGAUCUGUUGGCAAGGGAAGGGGCAGCCCAUGGAAAAUUGACAACACACUCGCUAGCUUGAUACCCUCUCUCCCUAACCCUUUCCUCCUCCCAUCUCCCCUCACAACUCUUUCUAUCUCCUCUAAUUCCCUUCACCCCAUCUAACCUCUAUCUCCUCUAAUUCCCUUCACGCCCUCUAACCUCUAUCCCCUCUAAUUCCCUUCACGCCCUCUAACCUCUAUCUCCUCUCUUGCUCCAUACUAACCCCCCCCCCUCCCCACAAAACAAAACAAAAAAAAAAAGAAGAAGAAACCCAAAUCUCCUCUUUCCCCUGAUCUCCACUUUCGUUUUUGGAAAGAACUCUAUUGCUAGUAGGCUGCCGUCUUGAUGUAAAUUUACAUUAUUGCACUGGUACCCAGUUUGUAUAAAACUCCCGGUUUGCGGGUAGCGAUAUUGGGGAUUUUGUACUAUAAUAUACUACAAAGUCAACUAUUUCUCAAAAAGUUAAAAUCAAACCUUGAACUUAUGUGUUUUAUCAUUUCUGUAUUAUGAAAUUCACUUCACUUGUUUGUGCAAUGAGCUAGAGGAGUGAUUCAUGUAAUAUGCAUGCUUCAUUAUUCUGUAAUUGUUAGUUAAAUCUCCGCUUCUAAUCUGUUUUAGUUAUGAUUUUAUAAUUUCCUUAUUGUUCCUUCAAAAAAUUUCUAAUUUUUUAUUUUCUAGCAUUUUCAGGGUUUUUUUUUUUUCCAUUUUUAUCAAUUUAUUUGUAUUUCUCUGAUAUUUUAUUUUAAACAAAAUUUGAUCACUCAGACCCGUGAGCUGGUCUUCUCAACAAGUCAAUGGAAAUGUUGCCUCCACCAAUUCAAUGGCCUGUCCUUGCAUACUAACAUUAACAAGGAGCACUGAAGGAUUUAUUUGGUGAAAUGGGAGAAUGUACAUUGCCCAAGGAGUUUGACGGAAUGGGGAUUCAACAUCUAAAUGUUGUGAAUAUUGCGCUCUUGGGUAAGUGGUAUUGGAGAACUACAGUGGACGAUGAUAGUUUGUGAGGAAAUGAGGUAUUAGGUAUAUAUACAAAGGGUAGGGAGUAACUCUGCCAUUGGCUAGUCCAAAGCUUGAACCAGAAAGGAGGUUGUGUUAGGUUUGCAGACAACGUAUGGCCCUUGAUAGAGCGAACUUGCAUAAAAGGAUUCAUUUAGCCAACCCUAAAUAGUUGAGAUAAGGCUUAGAUGAUGAUGAUGAUGGCGAGGGUCAGAAGUAUUGGAGGGUGGGUGUGUCUUAUACAGUGUUGGGUUUGAGAAGGGGUAUCAUGUUAGGUGGUAGUGAGUUUAAAUAUGGUACUAGACAUCAGGAUGGGAAUGGGACUCACAUCCGAUUUUGGGUAGAUCUUUAGUGGGGCAACUUUGGCCUUCUAGGAUUAAGCGACAAAUAGGUACUCACUUGAUACUAGUCCACAGCCUAUGUGAAAGUUGGACAUAUGUGAUCUAGCCGAUGUAUAUAUUCUUUAUUUUUUCUUCUUUUCUCCUCUUUUUCUUUUUCUUUUCUAGCUUAGAACACUCACAAGUAGUCCAAUACAAUAAAUUGACUUAAAUUGAAAUAAAUAAAAAUAAAUCUGGGAUUUAAAACUUGAUGCCACUAAAACCUCUCUUUUAUUAAGCAAAAAAAACUACAACCGGACUUAUUACACCCCACACUGAGUCACCACUUUCCAAUGGCGCGAGAUCAAUGGUCAACCUUCAAUCUCAAAUAUGGGAAAGCAAAUAGGUUAAACCCUCCAAUGGAACAAGAACUCCUAUUAAAGUUAGAUCCAAAAUUAAGGCUUUACCCCUUUAUCACCUAGUUGAGAGAGAUAGCAUCUCAUUACUAAACCCUUAACCCUUUAGGUCAUGUGAGAGAUGGGAGAUGAGAGAGAUCUUCUACUAUGUGGGGUGUGCCCCUUUCUUUUUGGUAUAAGAGAGAGAAAGCUUUAUCUAACUAUAUAGGGCGUGCCCCUCUUCAUGAUCCAGAGAGAGAGAUACUCUACUAGGUGGGGCUAGCCCUUCUAUAGGCUUAUAGAGAGAGAAGAGAGCGAUUAAUGUGUUAGAGAUAUGGGAGAGGGCACCCCCUUUUUUAUAGUGCUUCAAGGGGUUUAGAGUUUCUUAGGGUUUUCCAUGGCUUGCCUCUUUUUAUGAGAUUGAAUAUGCACCAUUAAUCUUGGGUGACUUGUAGGGUGAGAGAUAUAAGCCCUCCAUCCCAUAGAUAGGCUAUCAAGAUCAUAUGGAAGGUGUUAAAACCUCUAUCCCCCAUUUCCUAAACUAUUUUCCUAUCAAUUAAUUUAAAUAAGAAAAUAUCUAUAAUAAUAUUGUGCUUUCUUAUUUUCAUGCACAAACCUUCUCACACUUUCCUAAUUCAAUUUCAAAGAUUCCUUCAAACACAGUUUCUAAAACGCAAGCUUUCUUCACUCUCAAGCCAUGAGCUUGAUACAACAAAGAAAAAGUUCCAUAAGGUGGGGCGUGCCACCCUUGGGGGCACUUCAUGGGCCCCACCAAAUUGUCAUGGCAGGCCCAUAUAUAUAUUUGGGCCUCCCAUGCAAUAUUAAAAUUAUUUAAAAUAAUUUAUGAUUUUUAGAAAUUCAUAAAAUCCAAUUUGAAUAAUUAAAUCAAUAUCUCUGUUUUUAUAAAUCCAAAUUUCAUAAAUAAAAUAGUCAGAGAUUCAGAAAAAUUCAAAUAACAAUUCUAAAAAUCAUAUAACAUUAAAACAAACAUAAUUGAAUACUUUUGAUGGGAAAAAGAUCCAUAUGUUAUAGGAAUAAAUAAAUAAAAUACUAGGGUACUCCACCUUCUACUGUAGACUACGGUCCACACUUGCUUUUUCAAAUCGACCCAGUGUUGCCCAUGACCCACAGUCUAUGUAGGGGCUCAUUAGUGGGUCACCAAAGUCUAGCCCAUGGGCAAGGGGUCAUAAUUCCAAUAUGUGGAUUUCAGGUUCUCCCUUAGAGGCGUACCAAAGUCACCUAGACCUCAUGCAACCACAGCUUUAUAGUACAUAAGGGUAAUCUCUCGCACACGCACAAGCUUCACCCUGAAAGGUGGUUCGCUUGCUCGAAACGGCUAUCAUAUGUGAAUGUCAUGUGAUGGUAUGUGUAUGAGGCUUUGGCUCCCGUUUUUGAAAGCCUCCAUCACACACAAGGGCCACACAGUCCAUCGGCUCACUCAUCCGGGCAUACUCCGACCUCAUCAAGGGAUGACCCAUUAUAACCGUUAUCGAUUUAUUAUCUAUGCUCAAGUAACAUGGGUUUUUCCCAACUGACUAGCCUAGCUUAUCAAGCUCAGUCCGGUAUCAACAAACAUCAUUUGCUUAGUAUGGUCCACACAGGACCACACUCCCACUGAGUUCAUAUUCCAUUCAAUCAAAAGUUCAAUUAUAAGCACUCAUAAGGCCUUUAAUGGCCACACACAUCCAACACUGUGCAAUGCACAAGCAAUUCUAGAUAGUACUUUCGGAUAUCUAAUUUUAAAUUGAGAAAAUCUAUUUUUUUACAAUAAAAAAUAUCAAUUAGAAAGUCUCAAUUAAACGAUAAAAAAGUUCCAUAUUCCUUAUUUUCACUGAAAAAUAAAAAACUUCAUGGAUACAAAUAAUUUGAAAUUUUAUUGAACAUUUAUCUUUGUUCUAACAAAUAGGAAAAAAUGAAAAAAUUUAAAUUAUAACGAUUCCAGUUGCUAUUCCAUAACUCAUUCUAACUCAUCGUCUACAAGCACUGGAUUUGAAUUUUCAACUAGUGCAAAUUACAAACCCAUCAACCAUUGAAGCUUUCAUUAGAGUGAUCGUACC